UGGACAAUUUUGAGGGAGAUGCUGACAAAAAGAGUUGGGCUUCCUUCCAAGAGCGGAUAGCAAAGGCCCCUGAACAAGUUUUGAGGUAUUGUAGGAGUGCUAGUUCUAAACCGCUGUGGCCCUUGUCAGGUGGUCGCCCAUCUAAGGCUGAUAUUGCAAGAUGCAGCUAUUAUGGUGGUCCCUUAUGUUUUGAAUUUCAGGAUGAAGAUCAUUCUCUUGACUGGGCAACUAUCGCGGUGUAUACAUGUGAAGCCUCUUGUGAAGGUAUUGGUUACAAAGAGGAAUUUGCUUGGGUACAACUAAGUCCAUCAACUAAUUUCCCUUGAUUAUUUGUCUUGUUCCUUUUCUUUUCUUUCUAUUUUCUUGUUUUCCUCUUUAUAAUGUUGGGGUUUGGGUUAUGUUGAGAGAAAAGUUGUAACUAGUUUUCUUAUCAUGAGAGAAAUUAUGCUUUUUUGAGCUUGAGUUUCUGUCUUGAGGCAUUUUAUUUUCGUUCUUUUAAGAUGUGCAAUUGGUGUUCCAAACAGUAUUCCCCCUU